rnacentral:rRNA from 1 species
AACGAACGCUGGCGGCAUGCCUAACACAUGCAAGUCGAACGAGACCUUCGGGUCUAGUGGCGCACGGGUGCGUAACACGUGGGAAUCUGCCCUUUGCUUCGGAAUAACAGUUAGAAAUGACUGCUAAUACCGGAUGAUGUCGAAAGACCAAAGAUUUAUCGGCAAAGGAUGAGCCCGCGUAGGAUUAGGUAGUUGGUGGGGUAAAGGCCUACCAAGCCGACGAUCCUUAGCUGGUCUGAGAGGAUGAUCAGCCACACUGGGACUGAGACACGGCCCAGACCCCUCCGGGAGGCAGCAGGGGGGAUUAUUGAACAAGGGGCGAAGGCUUAACCCAGCAUUGCCGCGGGAGUAAGGAAGCCCUUAGGGUUGAAAAGCUCUUUUCCCAGGGAGGAAAAUGACAGUCCCGGGAAAAUAAGCCCCGGCUAACCCCGUG